GCUAUUGUUAGAAAUUUUGAAACGAAUGCUUAGUUUUUAUACGCCAACUCUGUGUUAUAUGUUAUGGAUUGACGUCCAAGUUUCUAUGGUGCCAUUAGAAAUACGUUAUGUUGAAAUUUUUGAAAAGUAGACUAAGGUAUUGGAUGCGACAGAUAAUGAACCUUGGGGUCCUCAUGGCACUGCAUUGGCUCAAUUCUCAAAUAGCACAGGUCACUAAGAAAUUCUCUGAAUGUCAGUUAGUAAUGAAUGUUCUGUGGACAAGAUUGGGUGAAAAUGGCAAGGACUGGCGUUAUGUUUACAAGGUAGCAUAUUCCUUCAUUAUUGCAGUAUCAACCUAAAGAUUCGUAUAUAAAAAAUCUUUUAAUAUUAAGAGCGGCUGACUGGGCAAAGCUUGAGUUUGUGCAGCUUCAUGGAGACAGUUCUCAAGCAGCAUUUCCAGAAUUAGUGCAAGAAAACCCAAUAAUUUAUGUUCUUCAUGCAAAUGAAAAUGGGGACCUUCUAAACCAGAUUUAUGAUAAAAGAGUGUUCUUUGGUGUUUUCUAUUUUAUCUCUGGAUCUGAUUCAGAUCUGUGAAAUUUCCUAUUGGAUCUUCAAAAUUUUGGCUGUUAUUUUAAUUUUUUUUUUUUUUAAAUUGUUUUUCGUUAUAUAUGUGUUUUACCUGGGCGUCAGUAAUGUACGGGAUCUUUCUAUACAUCAAUAGCUCCGCUGUUCACUGGAGUCUCGGUGUACACAUCAGCUUCGUUAGAUGUGUUUUACCUGGGCGUCAGUAAUGUACUGGAUCUUUCUAUGCAUCGAUUACUCCACUGUUCACCGGAGUCUCGGUAUACACAUCAACUUUGUUAGGAUUGAGUACUGGUGGCCUAUUUCAGCUCAAAAUUUUCAACUUCCACAGUAGGCGAAUCCAAGGUGUAAAGGGAGGGAACUUAGAAAUUUUCUUUUAAUGAUGAGGAGCGUGAAAAGAAUGUAGCUUUGGUUAAGAUGUGUGGGAUUACAUCAGCUAAAGAUGCUGCUAUAGCAGCAGAAGCUGGUGCUAAUUUAUUGGAAUGAUUAUUUAGCCAAACUCCAAGCGGUCGGUUUCGCCUGCAGUUGCUAAAGAGAUUUCAAAUUUUCAAGAGAAUAUGGGGCAGAGCCUGUUGGGGUGUUUGAGGAUGAUGACGCAGAGACGAUAUUGAGAGCUGCUAACUAGGCAAAGCUUGAGUUUGUGCAGGUAUAUAUGGUUUUCUGGUAUUGAAUUCCUUGAAAUUUUUGAUGGGAAUCGACCAGAUAAACAUCCUUUACCCAAGAAUACUUUUUUCUAUGCUAAGCUGCUACUGAAUUGAAUUGCUGCUGAAUGAAUUGCUAUGGUUAUUGUUGUUUUUCUAUGCUAAACUGCUGCUGAAUUGAAUUGUUGAGGUUAAUUGAUUGUCUAUGCUGAGCUGUCGUUGAUUUGAAUGAUUGAGGUUAAUGUUGAGAUUCUCUACUGAGUGUUUAUGGACAGAGUGUUUAUGCUGCUGAGGAAGAGGGUGUUUGUGUAUGAUGAUGCAGAGACGAUAUUAAGAGCUGAUGACUGGGGAAAGCUUGAGUUUGUGCAGAGUGUUUAUGCUGCUGAGGAAGAGCUGUUGCCAGUUGCCAGAUUUUUCUGCUGUAAGUGUUGUUGCCAGUUGACAGAUUUUUCUGCUGAAGAGUUGUUGCCAGGUGUGAUAAGAACGGCGAUGGGUUGCUAUCAGAGGAGGUAUAGGAGGUCAUAGUCUUGAGUGCCUCUGCAAAUAAGCUCUCAAAUUCUUAAAGAUAACGUUGCAGCAUUUGCAGGCAGAUCCUGACCUGAAGGGAUAUUUAGAGAUGUGACAACUAGAAAUUCUACUACGAGGAAUUGUCUCGGAUAAUGGCAACAAGGUGCGCCAUAGCAACUAAGGCAAUUAAAAUAUAUAUUUAGUCAUUUUUUAAAUUUAACUCAAAUCAAUCUUCUUGAAUUAAGGCAAAUAUAUCUAUAUUGUAUCUUUAAAAUUAGACAAAAUUAAUAUUACUCUUUAAAUAUCAGUGAUCUUGAUAGGCUAUUUAUGUUAAAAUU